rnacentral:rRNA from 1 species
UACGAAGGGAGCGAGCGUUGUUCGGAAUCACUGGGCUUAAAGCGUGCGUAGGUGGAUUGGUAAGUAAGAAGUGAAAUCCCAGGGCUUAACCCUGGAACUGCUUUUUAGACUGCCUGUCUGGAAUUCGGUAAAGGUUGGUGGAACUCCCAGUGUAGAGGUGAAAUUCGCAGAUAUUGGGAAGAACACCGGUGGCGAAGGCGACCAACUGGACCGACAUUGACACUGAGGCACGAAAGCGUGGGUAGCAAACAGG